UGUUAAGUUAGUGGCGGACGGGUGAGUAACGCGUGGGUAACCUGCCGUAUACCGGGGGAUAACACCUGGAAACAGGUGCUAAUACCGCAUAAGCGCACGGGACCGCAUGGUCCAGUGUGAAAAACCGAGGUGGUAUGCGAUGGGCCCGCGUCUGAUUAGCCAGUUGGCAGGGUAACGGCCUACCAAAGCGACGAUCAGUAGCCGGCCUGAGAGGGUGGACGGCCACAUUGGGACUGAGACACGGCCCAAACUCCUACGGGAGGCAGCAG
rnacentral:rRNA from 1 species